UUUCUCUCGAUCUCUCAAUCUCUCUCUCGAUCUCGUUUUCUCUCGCACAAUCUCGUUUCUGCGUACACAUUAUCUGUACUCUUUUUUGGAUAAUUUUUUUCUCCUAAAAAUCUCUCUAUACAAGUAUAUAUAUGAAUUUUUAUAUGUAUCUCUAUGUAUUAAUUGAAUAAGCAUCCUUAUUUUGUUUUCAGGCUCUCGAAUGAUCCAAUCGUUGAUCGACAGUGACGGAAAAAAUCAAAUCCUGUGAGAAAAGAAACCCUAACUUUCUCAUUGGAGGUCUCUGAAAAUGAUAGAGAAGCUAUCAGUACUGCAUACUUGGCAAGGCAUCCAAUGCAUUCUGGGUUAUCUUUAGCAGGGAGAAAAUGAACUCCUUGGAGUUGAUGGCAAGUAUGACAGUAUGUCAAGUUUCCAGAAAAAACCAAAGGAAGUGAAUGUCAGAUUCCACAGUGCUUGCUUAUGUGUUGUCAGAGCUGAAUCGUCGGCAUAAUUAUGGUGUAAAUCUAUUUCUCUUGUCAGUUGAUGAAGGCAUCGCAGGGUAUAUGGAUGAUUCACUUGAAACUGUCAAAAGAAAUGAAGUCCAGGUGAGCAAGUCUCCUGAUUUUUUAGUUCAGCACAAGUUGGGUCGUUUUUGCUUAUUCUGCUAUUGGUUCAUUUAUUUAUUUUCUUGCAGCACAGCAUUUUGAUUUUUCUUUUUGUCCUGCAAUCUUUUCUUUACUGUUGUUGCUGACUCAUUAAUUUCUGUUCUUGUUGUUCUAAGAACUUCUAUUUUAGCUAAUAAAAUGGUUUUUAAUCUUUUCUGUCUUUUUAAUCAACGAGUCCUGUGUGCUUAUGUG